GCCAAGCGCACUGGGGACACAGCCCCACUACCCCUCCAGCCUUGUGGGUGUCUAUCACCCCGUUACCCACCCUUCCCGCACCUGAGCUAUCAUUCCCCAGGGGCAUGACUGCGCACAAAACUGCACAGUUUACAGAGCCCAGAUCUGGAGGUUUUGAUGACUAGGGAACACCUGCAGCCCCUGGCUGGCCCCACCUGGCUCUGAACCUGCUCACUCAAUUUGGGGUAGGAGGUGCUGGAGCCCAGGAAUAUAGGAGCUACCCUGUCAAACCCUAAUGCUCCAGGUGGUGGGCCCAAUCUGGCAGGGGCUGCUGGCCAGAAGGAACUCAAGGUCAACCUAUAUCUCUGUGCCCCAGGGCCCCCUGGCUCCUGUCUAGAGCUUCCCAAGAGGGAAUGUGUUUUCCUCAGAAAUCUGGAACUGUCCCUCACCCCCAACACCUGAGUCAGGUCAGCAGGAGGCUCUUGCUCCCUGGGCAUGUAUUCUCCUGCCCUCCCCUGGUGAGACUGUCUGCUAGACUUGAGCAACUACAGGCUGGGGACCACUGGAGCCUGGAGGCUUCUGAAGUGACCCAGCCCCAGGGCUCCACUCCACACGGGGGCUGCAGGAGCUCCCUGGCUCUGGUCAGUGUUUCAGACCCUCUUUUGACCCUCUUCCCAUCCCAAGACAGGAGAACCUUGCUGUGACCCAGAUGGCUUUGAAAGGAGAGGACAGGACGCAGGUCCCCAGUUGCUGAUCCAGGGAGCUCAGAAGCCUGGUGGGAAGCUGUUCCCUGCUGUGUCCAGUCUCGGGUGGGGCCUCCCAGCACCAAAAGAAAGUUCUAGGACCCAGAAUAGGUCACUGGGAGGGGUGGGGACAGUCCCAACCAAGACUUCCCAGGAAUUUGAGCCAAGUGGAUAAUUUUGAAAAAAACCCAGAUGUUUGGAAAUUGACUUCUUUCAAAUGCAGGAAGGCGGUUGUGCCUGCAGUCCGGCAGCCUCCUCCGGGAAGGGCCCCGGUGCGGUGGCGGCCAGAUCGCUCGGCAGAAUCCCUCUGCCUGGUUUUGUGUCUGGAGUCCCGGCCAGGGUGCCAGGCCCACCAGAGAAGGUGCCGGCAUGCCAGGGGGUCUUGGGAGCUGCAGCCAGGUGCACUUUGGAGACCCAAUCUGCAGUUUUUUGGUUUGCUUUGUUUUAAGAGAUUGCGACUGAACCUGAAGCGCUCCAACCUCCCUCGUUUGACCCUAUCCAGGCCCAACUGGGCUCUCCAAGAAGUUUCGGGAAGCCUCCAACGACUCCGUCCCCCCUACUCCCACCCCCCGCCACGAGUUAGUGGAUCAGGGGAAGCCGCGGGGCUCCGUCAACCACCCGCAGGCUCCGGCCACAGGGAGCAAUAAACGGAAUCCGCUUCCCACGCCUUCCCUCUCGAUCUCCGGAUCUUUAAAAAUCCGCCAACGAAUCCCAACGUCGGGUUUGUGCUGCGUGUACUCCCGAGCCACGUGCCGACCCGCGCCCAGCAGGCCGAGAAGGUGGCUGUCGGCUCCCGCGCCGCAGCCCCGGCCACCCGCGCACACACGCCGCGAGCAACUUCAAUCCCCGGGGCGCCCCGGUCCUGCGGCGACCGCGCAACGGUGCUCAGUCAAGGUGGCGCAGGGGCCCCUCCAGAGCUCUGCCAGCAUAGACGGGGUCGCUGCUUUUGGAUUCCACCUCUGGCUGCGCGUGGACGGAGCCCAGGCGGCAGAAUAUGAAGCUGCGUCGCUUUCCGGACUUGCGGCGAAUCCCGGGAUCGCCAGAUCGCCCGGCGGGAGCCCGCCCUCUGCAUGCUAGACGGAGCCCAGAACACUGGCCUGCCCGAAUCAGCUUGUACCUGAAUUCGUAUCUCCGUUUGCAAAGCCGCCUCCUCCCCGUCCGUCCUCUCCGCAGUGAACAGCCCCACACAUCUGACCCUCUUCGUGUGAAACCGAAUGUUGCCUUGGAUUCAGUGGGGUGUUAAACUGCGGAGGAGCUGGAUAGAUUUCUCUCCAGGCCUCAGCGGCCCCACCCGUGAAAUGGGACAGGCCAUGUCUGUUCUCUCAGCGGUUAAUCAUGGAGCUGGCAGGAGAAGAACGGGGUGGGUGGAAACAGCAGGAGGCUGCCAGCCCACCCCUAUGGGGCUAGGUUGCUCAGUGGGGGUCAAAGGCCUUGUGGGACCCACAUUACCCUUGGAGGGUCUUGUCCUCCCCUCCCUCCCUCUGCCUGACUUCCUAGCGUGGGCCCAGCUUCCUGGGGGGUCUCCCCUCUGACCCCAGACCAGGUCUGGCUCACCCAGAGCUUUUUCUCAGGUUCCUUUGGGCCCCGUAGGCCCUGGUGCUUACUGUACCAGGCUCCAACUCAUGGGUGGCACUGCCCAGCAUCCCAAGUCCUGCCAAGGGACAGAGAGAGGGAGAGGGAAGGAAGGCUGGGAGGAGGAGGAAGCCACCCUGGGGUGGGUGCUGUGGCUGGGGGGAGGAAGAGCAGGCAAGGAAGGGCCAGGUCCCCCCUGAGCUCUUGGGAGGGAAUGUGCCACCUCCAUCCCCCUGUGGACUGUUGGGUCUUUGGGGCAGGGCUGGGACCCUGGGGCACAACCUUGGGAGCUGAGGUUCCACCAACUCCCCUCAGGGUGACUGCAGAGGACUUGAAGGUGAGGGAAGCAGGUGGAGGGGGUGUGGCCUGGCAAACCUUCCUGCCUGCCCCCUUCCCUGGGCUGAGAGAGGAGGGAGCCUGGUAGCCAGGGCGGCACCCCUCCCCCACCCCUCCCUGCUUUGCUUUCUACCAACAAUCGUGGGCAGCGUGCAGACAUAGACGGCUCUCAGAGCCUGUGAGAGCCCAGGACUGCCCUGGGCAGGGAAAAAAUAACCAGUUCUGCCGAGUGACAGAAGAUGAAAUCAGCCACCGGCGUCCUCUCAGGAAAGCGCUGUGCCCAUUCCUCAAGGCUGGAGAAAGCUGGCAGGCAAUGACUGUGCAAGUGACUGGGGUCCCCUGUCUGGCGAGGGCUGGGCAGCACCCUCAUCUCUGCCCUUCCCUCUGCGUCCUGGGGUCCCUUGGUCUGUGCAAGGCUUGGUACCGACCCAGUGAAGGACAUGGUCCCUGCGGCAGGGGAUAAACCUGCACUCAGCAUUCUGCUCCCUGCAACUCCCACAGGUCACCACAUUGAGAACCCACCCUGAGCCAGGCCUGGGUACCAGGGUGAAGGAAGUGGCUUCCUGGCUGUCCUGUGAUACCAGUGGAAUCAUGAUGUCACUGCCCAUGGGUGCCCAGGGAUGGGCAUUACUUAGGAGAGAUCCGUGCUCCCCCCAUACACACAAUCUCCCUCCCUCCAUGCCCCUCAGCCAGUGGCCCCAGAGCCAGCAGACAGUUGGGGGGCAGGAACAGAGGAACAGCAGCCUAGUCAGAUCCAGCUUCUGCCUCAGGUCCUCUGGACCCCAUGGUUAGCUUCUCCAGCUUCCUGGGAGUCCAAUUUCCUAAAGUAAAAUGACGUGACAAGCCAGGCUUGUCAUGCAGGUGGAGCCUGGCCCUUCCCCGGUGCUGCAGGGGACAGGGAGCCCGCCCUCCGUGGCUCUCUUGAGUCAGGCCCUGGGAGGCAGCUGCUGCCUUGUUGCACAGACAGCAGGAGUCCUGGCACCCCCCACUCACCCCUGCAGACUUAACUGGCUCAGGGCCCUGGGCCAGGCCCCAGUCAGGCCCCACCCCCUGACGUUGCCCUGCCCCAGUCAGGCCCCGCCCUCUUGACCUUGUCCUGCCCAGGGCCAGCUAGUCUCCUAGCAGCUGCAACCAGUGCUCCUUGACGGUCUCUGCUCCUGUCUAGAACCAGCAUUCAUUCAUUCAUUCAUUCAUUCACUCGUUCCUUCCCACAGGACAGGAGGUGCUGGCAAGGCCCAGUGGCACUAGAACUCAGAAUCCGAUGGUGGUGCGUGGAAUAGGAGGGUGAAUCUGUCUCCUCUCCCAGACCUGCAACCUCCUGGCAUCUUAUGAACUUCCAAAGCCCAGGCUUUGGCAACUGGCCCAAGGCCAGGACUGUGCUCUGUGCUCAGUGAAUGAAUGAAGGAGUCAUGAAUGAAUGAUUACAGAGACCUGAGUAAGUAAAAUGCUUCCCUUGGAUCUCUGCAAGUGGGUUUCAGCCCAGGGAAGACUGAGGGCGCUGAGGGCAGCCUUGCAGGACACUAGUGAUGGAGGGAGUGGCCUCAGGCAGAGACUGUGUGACCCACCCCCUCCCAGGCUGAACCACAUCUUCUUAAUCUGACCAGGUCUCACAUAGCUGCCCCUGCAACAGGGGAACCCAGCAGGGAGCAAGCCAUGCCAGUCCCUUGCAUACAUAUUGGGAAAAGGAAGCUGACCUCCUCAGGGGCCCCGUGGGACCAUAGGGAGCAGGGUAGGGAUGGGGUCAAAAGGAGUAUUCCAGAAGACAAGCCCAGUCUAGCCACAGAGUUCCCUGGCUGGAGUGUUUUAGCUGAGCUUCUAUUUCAGGCAGAGUUCUGGGUGUAACCCAGUCUGCCUCCCACCCCUGGGUUGCAGCAUGGUGCCAUGGUGCCAACUCACAACAGUCCCAUGCCGUGGGCACUGAGAUUGUUCCCACCUUACAGAUGGGGAAACUGGUGCCUGGAGCCUGGAGCCUCUUGGCCUGUCCUUCAAGACAUAAGUAGGAUUCAGAUGAAGAGCUCUGUGACCACAGAGCCUGUACUCCAGAUGACGUAUAUGGCAAGGGUAGUGCUCUCCAAGGGGCUCACCUGGGCCACCAUGAAGGGUUCUCCACCUAGGACCUUCUUCUGGGUUCACGUGGUGGCAGAAGUGUGAGCUUCAGAGGGCACUUUGCUCUCCUUUACCCAUGUGCUUCCAACAAUGGCCAAGACAUUUAUUUGCCUGGGUCCAGAAAGACUCAGCUAUUUGGAGGUUAUGUUUCCUGAGUUCAUCCACUCACUGGGAGUCUGAGGCCCCUUCCCACCCCCCCACCCCCACUGUCGGGGUGGCCAUCCUGGGACUGUGUUGUGGCUGCUCAGCCAGCGGCUUUGGAGGCUCUGUUUGAGACUAACACACCAAGCAAGCCAGGCUCAGUAUCUGGGCUUCUAGUCAGGUAUUUCCAAUCAUAAAAUGUGCCAUUAAAAAAAAUAUAUGUGUCAGUUAAGUGUGUACUAAGCCUGGACCACAUGGGACAUGGUUGUUCUAAUAAACACGAAUAAGCCAGUUUUCACAUUAGAGAAAUAGCAGUUUCUUGUAGAAUUGUGGUGCUUUUAAAAGAGGUUAAUUAAUAAACAGCAGGUAAUUGUUCGUGGCACAUUGUGGCAGAGGGUAAUUUUCAUUUUAGAGGAUGGAAGGGCCAAAUACCCCUCCCUACUCAGCAUUUUUCUGUAAUAAUCACCUUGGCUUCACCUCUGGCUUUAAUUUUUACAGCUGGAGCUGUUUAUCAUCACUCCAACUUUCACUAAAAAGGAAAAACUAUCACUUAAACAAAGCCAUUGAAAACUCGGCAUCAUAUGUGGAUUUCUUAACAUAAAUAAAUCAUACAAACCAAGAUUUA